rnacentral:rRNA from 1 species
GAUGAACGCUGGCGGCGUGCCUAAUACAUGCAAGUCGAGCGAACAGACGAGGAGCUUGCUCCUCUGACGUUAGCGGCGGACGGGUGAGUAACACGUGGAUAACCUACCUAUAAGACUGGGAUAACUUCGGGAAACCGGAGCUAAUACCGGAUAAUAUAUUGAACCGCAUGGUUCAAUAGUGAAAGACGGUUUUGCUGUCACUUAUAGAUGGAUCCCCGCCGCAUUAGCUAGUUGGUAAGGUAACGGCUUACCAAGGCAACGAUGCGUAGCCGACCUGAGAGGGUGAUCGGCCACACGGGAACUGAGACACGGUCCAGACUCCUACGGGAGGCAGCAGUAGGGAAUAUUCCGCAAUGGGCGAAAGCCUGACGGAGCAACGCCGCGUGAGUGAUGAAGGUCUUCGGAUCGUAAAACUCUGUUAUUAGGGAAGAACAAAUGUGUAAGUAACUAUACACGUCUUGACGGUACCUAAUCAGAAAGCCACGGCUAACUACGUG